UACGUAGGGAGCGAGCGUUGUCCGGAUUUAUUGGGCGUAAAGGGCGUGUAGGCGGCUUGUUAAGUCUGGAGUGAAAAUCCGGGGCUCAACCCCGGAACUGCUUCGGAUACUGGCGAGCUUGAGUGCUCUAGAGGGCAGUGGAAUUCCCGGUGUAGCAGUGAAAUGCGUAGAGAUCGGGAGGAACACCAGUGGCGAAGGCGACUGCCUGGGGAGUAACUGACGCUGAGGCGACGGAAAGCUGGGGGAGCAAACGGG
rnacentral:rRNA from 1 species